rnacentral:rRNA from 1 species
AGAGUUUGAUCCUGGCUCAGGACGAACGCUGGCGGCGUGCUUAACACAUGCAAGUCGAGCGGAAAGGCCCUUCGGGGUACUCGAGCGGCGAACGGGUGAGUAACACGUGAGGAACCUGCCCCUGGCUCUGGGAUAGCUCCGGGAAACCGGGAUUAAUACCGGAUAUGACCACUUUACGCAUGUUUUGUGGUGGAAAGUUU